rnacentral:lncRNA from 1 species
UUGUCUUAUAAUGUAUAUCAAAAUUGGCUUCAAUCAAAUAUUUUAUCAAUGAGCAUAAAUUACAUGUUAUUUCUCCUUUAUGAUUGACUAACACUCUUAUAAGCAAGACGUCACAUUUGGUCAACCACACAAAUCGAAUUUGUGAUUAAAGCUCAAUGAGGUAUGAAAUUUUAUUUUCUCCACAAAUUAGAUAUGUCCUAUCAUUAAGGGGGAGAUACUUCAUAGGUAUCUAUUUUUAACUUUGUCGAUACCUUAUUGUUUUAAGGGGGAGAAAUCAUGCAUGAUCCACUGCUUUUAAAUUGAAUAUUAUGGGUCAAUAAUUCAGGGGGAGCAUGCUCAUAAAGGUAAAAUAGAAUAUUGACUAGACAUGAGUUAAAACAUAUAUGCCAUCGACAAAGGGGGAGAAUGUAGAAUCAAAAUUGUCGACAUAGGAUUAUAUUU